GCAGCUAAAAACAGCACCACUCAUUGAAUCUUCAAAAGAUCCAAUGUGAGGUAAGCGAACAGUAUCAAACAAUAGCAUUUAAUGUUGAUGUGACAUUUACGUCACUGAGUUACCAGAAAUUAUGCUGAAAUGAAAACUACUUGCUAUAUUAAAAAUUACACAGCCUGCUAUAAAUUAAACUGGAAGUAAUUACUACUUUAAUUGCAACAAAAGGAGUUUGCAAGGGAGCAGUGAGACCCCACAUAGCAAGCCAGGCAAGUGAAUUCAUUUAGUAAAUAUUUGAUUAUCUCCUUGGUGAAGUGACAGUCCCUGUGUGGAGCACUGGGAAUGCAGGGGUGACCAGAGGCCAUCUGGAACAGCGGUUCUCAGCACAGCAGGAGGAAGACUUUGCGGAGACCUGUUGGCUGUCACAGUGCGUGGGCCUUGCUGCUGUCUCGGUGGGUCAAGAGUCAGGGAUGCUGAGGAACAUCCACACGGCUCAGGUCAGCCCCCACAGAGGGUGCUGUUCAAAGUACCACUGACUGGAUGGCUUUGCCAGAGAAAUUUGUUUUUCUCAUGACUCCGCAGGGUAACAGACCAAGCUCCAGUUGUCAGUAGGGUUGGUUUCUUCUGAGGCCUCCUUCCUCAGCUUGCGGGUGGGCCCCCUUCUCCCUGUGUCUUCAUGUGGUCUUUCCUCUGCUCACUUGGGUCUGUGCCCUCUUCUCUUGUUAGGACACCAUCAUGUUGGACCAGGAUCCAUCCACAUGACCUCACCUUGCCGUAAUUACCACAGCAAAGUUCAGAAUGUCAGUUGUGUGAGAUUAGAAACCCCCAGUGUAAAGGAAUUCCCAAGUCCAUUGAAAAAUAAGGCCCAAAGAGCCUUACUAGCUCUGUUUGUUACACUUAGCAUGCUCUAAUAUUCAUAUGCUGAGAAAAUGACGUUAUUAUGUUUACUUGAGAAUAAAGAACUUUAGGCUGUUAGAUCCAGGAUUGAAACUGCUAAGUUUCUGAUUCUAAAAUUUACCUUUUAGUGAAAAUAUGACCGUCCUCAUUCAUUCUUUUACCUUCCCACUGCCCUGCAGGGUGUAGUAGCUCCCCUGGGGGUUCCACCCCACCGUGGCGAUGAUGCUUAUGGUUUCAGAUGGUGCCAGAGAGCUGCUGGGUGUCACUUAGAGGAGCACAUCUAGAUGUUCUGAUGUGUCAGGCUGUCCUUUCAUCCUCUCAUGCCUUCUCUCCUUUAUAUUCCUCAUUGAGAAGCACUGUUCUAGUGGGAAAGGUAGUGCCUACGCAUAGGAUAAUAUGGGUGGUGUAGGGAGGGUGGUAGGCAUUUAAAAACAACCUCAUGCAGUGCACUUGCAUGGCAGUGGGGCUGGUCAAAUAGUGAGAAAGCACUUUGUGGAGGAGUGAAGAGUGAGAAGAAAGCACCGCCAGAUGACGACACAAAUGUGGUUGCUAUGGCUGAAUGUGAAAUCUGACUUGAAUUUUCUUAGAACUAGGGAAAGGCAGAAGCAGUGGUUACAAAGUUCUUUAUCUAAUUAAAAGCAAAUAGAAAUUCUUUCUGAGACCCUUUUUUUCCUUUCCUUUUCUAUUAUGAAAGUGAAUUCUUUAUGAACGUGAGAGAGGACAAAUCAUCAUCACAACCAUUGAAUUCCUGACCGUUUUGAUAACCUUUCCCUGGUUCUAGUCUUUGGCUGUUUCCCAUGUCCUUCGGGAUAACCAUCUGAGGCUAUAAACAGGCCACACAGGCACCCCUCCAGCCCCCACCACCCCAUUCCUGCCUUCUAGCCCCACCCGCACUUAGACUUAAGGGGACGUUUCCCACCCCUUCCCGAUGUGUCUGGGCUGCCCCAGCCUCAGGCUAUAGAGAACACAGGACAGUCUGUGCCUGGAAUGUUGCUGCUCUCCUGACGAUUCCUGCUGCUCCCCCACCCCCACCCCCUGCUCCCGCCCCGGUGUCCUGUGCACACACCCCGGUUGGUCUCACUGGACAGCCUGCCUUGCCCGGGCCAUGGCACCUCCAUCUUCUGUUGAUUUUCCUGCUCCUUGGCCUGGCUGGGUUCUGAUGGGAGGAGUGAAUGCUGUCACUUGAACCCACAGUGAGUUUGGGAAGAAAUUUGCUUCUUCUCUCUCUCAUUUUUCCCCUUCCCCCUUUGCCCUUUUCCCUCCUCUCUCCCCCCGCUGCCUGCCUUGUGCUCUUGCAUAGACCACAUCAGACCACACUGGAUAGUUACCCAGGUUACAGUUGUGGCGAGUGCUGCAAGGCAGAGGUACAUGGCCUUCUGCAAGCACGUGAGAGAGGGCCUUUUGUUUUGCUCUAUAGAGAGCUUGAAUAUCAGUCCAAGGGGAUAAUGUUAAUCACCACAUCCCCUCCUUGUCCCCACCCCCAGGACGUGUGCAUGUUAUCUUCUGACUCCUUCAUACAAAAUAUUAAAAUACUCAUGGAAGUCAGCUCAUUCGUGCCUGUGUGUCCACAGACUUCACAGUUAUGUCAGACAAGCUGGACAAGUCUCAGUUCCAUUUGACUUCGCCAGAACCAACUCCACACUAAAACACAGCAGAUAGUGUUUUGUCACAAAACACUUUCACACAGUGUUAUGGGUCCUCUUUAAUGACUGCGUCAUGAACCCUCUCUGAAUGCUGUGCCACCUUUGACAGUCUCCUGUUCUGGGACAUUUAAGUUGCUACCAGUUUUUCCCAGUUAUAAAUAAUAAUAGAAUUAUUCCCUUAGGAUAGAUUCCCAGAAAUGGAGUUAUUAGAACAUAAGCUCUUAAUAAAAUAUAUGAGCAGACUGCUUUCAAAAUAAAGGACAUCAGGAUUUAAAUUCUAAAGGGAACUUGUUCUGCAGUUUUUAAAAUAAUGAUCAUUAAGUAUAUUGAAGCUUUUCAUGGGAAUUUCAUAGCAAGUGCAAAAGCUUUCAUGUGGCUGCUGCUUCCAUUAAUGAUUAAAGCUGAGAGUCCAAAAUUGAAGGGGACUCAGAAAAGACAAUUCUAUAGGGUAUUAAGCAAGCAAAGGCCAAGGUCCACUAGGGGUUCUGAUAUGGUAUUUAGGAUCUCUGAGGGGAGUGGCUAGAGGAUGCUUUUAUAAUAUGUCACACCCUGGCUGGACACAUCUGACAAGGUUCUAGAGCUGUUAUUUUUCUGGUGCUGGCUGAAGAAGGAAUACUGAUUUGGGUGCCAGAUGAACAGAUGGCAAAGUUGAUGGACUCUUAAGAAUGUCUUUACUUGAAUGGGAAGCCAGGUGGGCUCAGGAAUACCAACAGGUGCUUUUUUUUUUUUUUUUUGAUUCCCAUAUUGAUUAUAGCUUUGAAACAUCCAGUGUCAUAAUUGAAACCCCAGACUUUGACAUGGCAUUUUUUAUUAUUUCCAUUUGGAGCACCUAAGAACUGCCUUACAGUCUUAAAAGAAUUUUAUAACUUCUUUCGUGUAACAUCACUUUGAACAACCCUGACUUUUCCAUGCUUGACAGCAUGUCUGACCUACAGAAGGCACUUCUAGGUAACAUCGAAUUCAUUGUUGGGUAAAGCUGUUUAAUAUUAACUUUGAAUUGUGAAGAAUAUCUGCUGAAAGCAUUCUUAUUUGGUGGCAUUGGUUUCCCAAACUAUGACAUCUACAUAGAGCAAUUUACAUUGUAUUUUCAGUAUAUGAUACCGAGUUAUGUAUAUUGGUUAAAAGCUUGAAAGAGAAGGUGGGCCUAAUAUAGAAUCUGUGACAGCAUAACUUAGAGCUGAAAUCUUACUCACUUUGUCAUAAUUUUAAAGAAAUACAAGCUUUAUAGACAUUGUUUUGUCAGGAUCUGUCUUGGAUCAUGUAGUUGUGACUAUUGCUGAUUUCUAUCCAAAGUGGAAACGAGGUGAAUGAAUGCUUCUAAAAGUCCUACCUUGUUCAGGACUGUUUUUUCUUUGUUUGUUUUUGUUUGUUUUUUUCCUUGCAAAGUAAAAUAAUAGCAUAGUCAUGAAUCCGAGGACUUUAAACCUGUGUGUUCCCCAUGUGAGAGAGAAUAGAUUGAGAGACCUGGACUUCACUCUGUUAAAUUUGACAGGCAAACAGCACUUGCUAAAGGAUACUUUUCCGUACAAAUGGACUAGAAGCCAAAAGAAAGGAAUAGGAUGCAAAAGGCAGUUGUGAGCAAAGAAAUUGGUUAAACACACUAAAUAU
rnacentral:lncRNA from 1 species